AUGGGGUUUGUUGGCAGAUUUUUGUUUUUGCUCUUGCUGGUGGUCACCACCCCUGCCUUGGGCCAACUGCCGUCGCAGGACAUCCUCGCGCUCCUGGCCUUCAAGAAGGGAAUCACUCAUGACCCUGCCGGUUUCGUCACAGACUCCUGGAAUGACGAGUCAAUUGACUUCAAUGGCUGCCCGGCCUCCUGGAACGGUGUCGUGUGCAAUGGCGCCAGCGUGGCUGGAGUUGUGCUUGACGGCCAUCGGAUCUCCGGUGUUGCCGAUCUCUCCGUGUUUGCCAACCUGACCAUGCUUGUCAAGCUCUCCAUGGCCAAUAACAAUCUCUCCGGGAGCCUCCCUAGCAAUGUGGCCAGUCUCAAGAGCUUGAAGUUCCUCGACAUCUCCAACAACCGGUUCUCGGGUCCAAUCCCUGAUGAUAUUGGCAGUCUCCGGAGCCUGCAGAACAUGUCGCUUGCCGGGAACAACUUCUCAGGCCCAUUGCCUGACUCCAUUGACGGGCUCGCGUCGCUUCAGUCGCUGGAUGUGAGCGGCAAUGCUCUGUCUGGCCCAUUGCCGGCGGCUCUGAAAGGUCUUCGGAGCAUGGUUGCUCUGAACCUCUCAUAUAAUGCCUUCACAAAGGGCAUUCCUGCUGGGCUUGGCCUCCUUGUGAACCUCCAGUCUGUGGAUCUGAGCUGGAAUCAAUUGGAUGGUGGUGUCGAUUGGAAAUUCUUGAUUGAGUCAACUGUUACUCAUGUUGACUUCAGUGGAAACUUGCUCACCAGCACCACCCCCAAAGAACUCAAGUUUCUCGCAGACAUUUCAGAGACAGUUGUAUAUCUGAACCUUAGCAACAACAAGUUGACUGGGUCACUGAUAGAUGGAGUUGAGCUCUCAACUUUUGGGAGGUUGAAGGUGCUUGAUCUGAGUAGUAAUGAGCUGUCUGGAGACCUCCCAGGAUUCAAUUAUGUUUAUGAUCUUGAAGUUUUGCGCCUUGCAAACAAUGGAUUCACUGGGUUUGUACCUAGUGGACUUCUAAAGGGAGAUUCUCUGGUGUUGAACCAACUGGACCUUAGUGCAAAUAACCUGACAGGUCAUAUCAAUAUGAUCACAUCAACUACCUUGCAGAUCCUUAAUUUGUCCUCAAAUGCUCUUUUUGGGGAUCUACCAUUGCUUGCUGGGAGCUGCACUGUGUUAGAUCUAUCAAAUAACCAGUUUCGAGGAAAUUUAUCAGUUUUUACCAAAUGGAGCAAUGACUUGGAAUAUGUUGACCUCAGCCAGAACAAUCUAACUGGGAGUAUGCCUGAUGUGAGCUCACAAUUCCUUCGCCUAAACUACCUGAACCUUUCUCAUAAUUCUCUAGCUGAUACCAUACCUGAAGCUGUUGUUUUGUAUCCCAAACUUACUGUCCUUGACCUCAGCUCCAAUCAGUUUAGCGGUCCUAUUCCUGCUAAUCUACUCUCUUCCUCCAUGCUGCAUGAGCUCUACAUCCAGGAUAACAUGCUUACUGGUGGCGUGUCGUUCCCAGGAUCCUCGUCCAAAAAUUUGAGUCUUGAAGUGCUUGAUAUUUCUGGAAACCAUUUUAGUGGCAGCCUCCCUGAUGAUGUAGUAUCCUUGUCUGGCCUCCGUGUCCUUGACAUAUCCUCAAACAACUUCUCCGGAGCUUUACCAGCCACUGUCACUAAGCUUGCAGCACUUACUGCACUUGACAUAUCAACGAACCAGUUCACGGGGCCACUGCCAGACGCACUUCCGGAUACUCUUCAGUCCCUCAAUGCCUCUUAUAAUGACCUAUCUGGUGUCGUGCCUGUGAACUUGAGAAAGUUCCCAGAAUCUUCUUUCCAUCCUGGGAACUCGAGAUUAGAGUAUCCUGCUAGCUCAUCUGGAUCCGGCAAUUCCCACUCUGGUUCAGCAGGUGGCAAAUCACUCAGCACAGGUGCUAAAAUAGGACUUGUAGCAGCUAGCAUUGUUCUUCUUGUCAUCCUUAUCCUUAUUGCUAUUGUAUGCCACUACAAGCGGAUCUCACGGCAGUUCCCUAGCUCAGAGAAGGUCUCUGACAAGAACCUCCACAGGGCUACUAAAGACAUUGAGAGCAUGAAAAGAAAGGACAACAAAGGUAGUUCGGAGGUGUCGGCGGAUGAUCUUGGUGCUCCUCGAAAGGGCUCCACAUCUGAAGCACCGAGCCAAGAAGAGAAGUUGUCAGGUGUGGGGGCAUUUUCACCAUCCAAGGGGAGCCGCUUCUCUUGGUCACCGGAUUCUGGAGAGGCGUAUGGACAGGAAGGCCUAGCACGGCUGGACGUCAGGUCACCUGACAGGUUAGCAGGGGAGCUGCACUUCCUGGAUGAGACCAUCACGCUCACACCGGAGGAGCUGUCAAGGGCGCCAGCUGAAGUGCUUGGGAGGAGCAGCCACGGAACUUCGUACAGGGCAACGUUGGAGAAUGGUGUAUUCUUGACAGUGAAGUGGCUGAGAGAAGGUGUUGCGAGGCCCAAGAAAGAGUUCACCAAGGAGGCCAAGAAAUUUGCAAACAUCCGGCAUCCCAAUGUAGUUGGCUUGCGUGGAUACUACUGGGGUCCAACACCACAUGAGAAACUCAUCCUGUCAGACUAUGUUUCGCCCGGAAGUCUGGCUAGCUUUUUGUACGAUCGGCUGGGGAGGAGAGGCCCUCCACUGACCUGGGCGCAGCGGCUCAAGAUCGCGGUUGAUGUGGCACGUGGCCUGAAUUACCUCCAUUUCGACCGUGCAAUGCCUCAUGGGAACCUCAAGGCCACCAACAUCUUGCUGGACGGCCUUGACCUGAAUGCCCGUGUCGCGGACUACUGCCUGCACCGCCUGAUGACCCAGGCCGGCGUUGUCGAGCAGAUUGUCGACCUGGGGGUGCUGGGCUACCGUGCCCCGGAGCUGGCGGCAUCCAAGAAGCCAUCCCCCUCGUUCAAGUCUGACGUCUACGCCUUUGGUGUUGCGCUGCUUGAGCUCCUGACUGGCCGAUGCGCGGGCGACGUCAUCACGGGGUCUGAAGGUGGCGUCGACCUGACCGACUGGGUGCAGCUGCGGGUGGCGGAAGGCCAAGAAUCGGAGUGCUUUGACCCGGCCAUGGCUUCGGACUCGGAGAACCCGCAGGGGGUGAAGGGCAUGAAGGAGGUGCUGGGCAUUGCGUUGAGAUGCAUCCGACCGGUCUCCGAAAGGCCUGGGAUCAAGUCUGUGUACGAGGAUCUUUCAUCAAUCUAG
rnacentral:rRNA from 1 species